UGCCGCCAUGUCCUCCCCUUGCCAGGGAGCUCUCAGGCGAGGCAGAGUCACUCGGCGGCUGCCUGCUCCAUCUGCAGGGGCCAUCUUGUUAUUGACAUGUGUCGGGUCUCGCUCUGGCUUCCUGCAGUAGACGGGUUGCAGCGCGCUCACAAAGAGCUGUCUGGCAUUAGCAGUGUCCCCAGGCUGCAGGAAGUAGCUGGUUUUGCUUGGACACAGCGUGUCAGUAAAUGGUGCAAACUGCCACACACAGAGACAAGAAGCUGCAGUGCACAGACCAGCAGAAACCAAACAGAAGCCACAGAGAAUAAAAAGACACACUUCAGGAUGAUUGUGUAAUGAUGCAGGUGGAAGCCAGGAACAACUGUAUCCCCUUCUACAUGGAAAACAUAUAUUCAAAGAGAGAUUUCCCCCCUGGUGUUAUAUAUGUCUACAAGCUUUAAACAGAUGCCUUUUGAAAAAUUUUUAGUCUCAGAGCCAAAAAUCUUAACAAGACAACUGUAAAGACACUGAUCAGGUGAACAGGGACUCUCUGGGGUGAUGGUGCCAUGCAAGGUCUCUCAGAAGAAUAUCAGUUUCUCUUUCUUAGCUGAGCAAGAACUUUCUGUGUCCAACAUCAACCAGCUUCAGUGCUGAUAUAUGGUUACUAUAAAAGAGCUCUAGGGACAGAAACAAACUCUGCAUCUUUCCACUGAGGAGGCAAGAGUUCAGCAUACUUGUAUCAUGAAUGGAAGAUCACAGCCUAGGUUGGCUGUAAUACACUGGAAGGAUUUGGGGCAAACACGUCUUGCUGAGUGCAGCACAGUCUGUGGUCAGACAUCUCACCUGGAAAGCAGCUGCAAGUCUGUAGCGAUUAGAGUAACGUGACAAAUGUGGAAUGUGAACUGAGGAAAGAAGCUGGACAGCUUACUCUCCCUCUAACUAUAGACUGUUAGUAAAUGUUACACUUACAAUCUGACUGACUGCCUGCUGUGACUGUGCAGUAGGUAACUUGGCUAGAUUCAACCCUAGUGUGUAUAUCCCCUCCAUGAACUCCCUCCAGAUCUAUAAGACCACACAUGAUCCUGGUUCCACACUCAGACUGAGAACAGUAGUUCGUCAAAGCAUAUAACAUUCCCCAUAAUAAACUUCUCAAAUUCCA